GUUGAUGCCGGGAGAUCAGCGGAAGAGGCAGAGAACCAUGGAUCAGGAGCUAUCUAGUUGAGGAGGAUGACCAAGGAGUAGCCUUCUUCAAUGGAACCUGCAACACUAUAACGAAAAACCAUGAGAUAAGAAAAAAUUUAUAUAUUGCCAAUCUAACAACACUACAUUAUAUAAUCAGAACUUGUACGAAUUUGUAGAUUAUAUAUUUGCAAGAAUAAUGGGGGGUCAGAAUCCAGAAGUUCAAGAGCCAGCAAAGACAAGUGUAGAGCAUGGAAAAUCGAAGGUUGAAUCUCUAUCGGAACAAAACUUGGAUGCUAGCUUGUUGUUUUAAGCAUGGAAGUUAUGUAUUCUGGUUCAAGGGUUAUAAACACCCAAGAGAGGUGGACUCCUAGUAACCCUAAAAUUAAAGAAUGAACAGCUACUAACCAAUGACGCCGAGUGGGCACAGUCAAACCAGCUACUAACCAAUAACGCCCCUCCAAUAGAGAAACCAGCAACCGUGGAAGAUAAACCCUGACGAUUCGCCGCCGCGGCCGUGUUUGAAGAUAAACCCUGACGAUUCGCCGCGGCCGUGUUUGAAGAUAAACCCCGACGAUUCGCCGCGGCCGUGUUUGAA
rnacentral:lncRNA from 1 species